CAGUAGCCGCGGUAAUACGUAGGGUGCGAGCGUUAAUCGGAAUUACUGGGCGUAAAGCGUGCGCAGGCGGUUUUGUAAGACAGGCGUGAAAUCCCCGGGCUCAACCUGGGAAUGGCGCUUGUGACUGCAAAGCUAGAGUGCGGCAGAGGGGGGUGGAAUUCCGCGUGUAGCAGUGAAAUGCGUAGAUAUGCGGAGGAACACCGAUGGCGAAGGCAAUCCCCUGGGCCUGCACUGACGCUCAUGCACGAAAGCGUGGGGAGCAAACAGGAUUAGAUACCCCGGUAGUCCCUGUCUCUUAUAC
rnacentral:rRNA from 1 species